GUGCCUGCUUCAGCAGCACAUAUACUAAAGUUGGAAUGAUAAAGAGAAGAUCAGAAUGGCCCCUGUGCAAGGAUGACAUGCAAAUCUGUGAAGCGUUCCCAUAUUUU